GAUGAAGAACGUAGCGAAAUGCGAUAAGUAAUGUGAAUUGCAGAAUUCAGUGAAUCAUCGAAUCUUUGAACGCACAUUGCGCCCGCCAGUAUUCUGGCGGGCAUGCCUGUUCGAGCGUCAUUUCAACCAUCAAGCCCCCGGCUUGUGUUGGGGACCUGCGGCUGCCGCAGGCCCUGAAAACCAGUGGCGGGCUCGCUAGUCACUCCGAGCGUAGUAAUACAUCUCGCUCAGGGCGUGCUGCGGGUUCCGGCCGUUAAAAGCCUUAUUUACCCAAGGUUGACCUCGGAUCAGGUAGGAAGACCCGCUGAACUUAAGCAUAUCAAAAGGGAGGA
rnacentral:misc_RNA from 1 species